UGGCGGACGGGUGAGUAACGCGUAGGGAUGUGCCUUUGAGUACGGAAUAACCGUUGGAAACGACGGCUAAUACCGUAUACGCCCCCAGGGGGAAAGCUCCGGCGCUCAAAGAGCAACCUGCGUCCGAUUAGCUUGUUGGUGAGGUAAUGGCUCACCAAGGCUGCGAUCGGUAGCUGGUCUGAGAGGAUGGUCAGCCACAUUGGGACUGAGACACGGCCCAAACUCCUACGGGAGGCAGCAGUGGGGAAUCUUGCACAAUGGAGGAAACUCUGAUGCAGCGAUGCCGCGUGAGUGAAGAAGGCCCUUGGGUUGUAAAGCUCUUUCGUCGGGGAAGAAAAUGACUGUACCCGAAUAAGAAGGUCCGGCUAACUUCGUGCCAGCAGCCGCGGUAAUACGAAGGGACCUAGCGUAGUUCGGAAUUACUGGGCUUAAAGAGUUCGUAGGUGGUUGAAAAAGUUAGUGGUGAAAUCCCAGAGCUUAACUCUGGAACUGCCAUUAAAACUUUUCAGCUAGAGUAUGAUAGAGGAAAGCAGAAUUUCUAGUGUAGAGGUGAAAUUCGUAGAUAUUAGAAAGAAUACCAAUUGCGAAGGCAGCUUUCUGGAUCAUUACUGACACUGAGGAACGAAAGCAUGGGUAGCGAAGAGGAUUAGAUACCCUCGUAGUCCAUGCCGUAAACGAUGUGUGUUAGACGUUGGAAAUUUAUUUUCAGUGUCGCAGGGAAACCGAUAAACACACCGCCUGGGGAGUACGACCGCAAGGUUAAAACUCAAAUGAAUUGACGGGGACCCGCACAAGUAGUGGAGCAUGUGGUUUAAUUCGAAGAUACGCGCAGAACCUUACCAACACUUGACAUGUUCGUCGCGACUCUAAGAGAUUAGAGUUUUCGGUUCGGCCGGACGAAACACAGGUGCUGCAUGGCUGUCGUCAGCUCGUGUCGUGAGAUGUUGGGUUAAGUCCCGCAACGAGCGCAACCCUCACUUUUAGUUGCCAUCAUUAAGUUGGGCACUCUGAAAGAACUGCCAGUGAUAAGCUGGAGGAAGGUGGGGAUGACGUCAAGUCCUCAUGGCCCUUACGUGUUGGGCUACACACGUGCUACAAUGGUAUCUACAACAGGAAGCAAGACUGCGAGGUCAAGCAAAUCCUUAAAAGAUACCUCAGUUCGGAUUGCACUCUGCAACUCGAGUGCAUGAAGCUGGAAUUACUAGUAAUCGUGGAUCAGCGUGCCACGGUGAAUGCGUUCCCGGGUCUUGUACACACCGCCCGUCACACCAUGGGAGUUGGUUCUACCUUAAGGCAAGGUUUCAAACCCUUGACCACGGUAUAGUCAGCGACUGGGGUGAAGUCGUAACAAGGUAGCCGUA
rnacentral:rRNA from 1 species